AUAAUCUAUGCGUCGGUCUACCGAGCAAAAUCACCCGCUCGGUGAAAGAUUUUCCCUUUGUCGU
rnacentral:pre_miRNA from 1 species